GAUCCUGGCUCAGGAUGAACGCUAGCGACAGGCUUAACACAUGCAAGUCGAGGGGCAGCGGGGAGUAGCAAUACUCCGCCGGCGACCGGCGCACGGGUGAGUAACACGUGCGCAACCAACCCCGUACCGGGAGAUAACCCGCGGAAACGUGGACUAAUACCCCAUAACACCUUUCCCCCGCAUGGGGGAGAGUUUAAAAUCCCGAUGGUACGGGACGGGCACGCGCGACAUUAGGUAGUUGGCGGGGUAACGGCCCACCAAGCCGACGAUGUCUAGGGG
rnacentral:rRNA from 1 species